GAAGGUGUAGCUUAGUGGUAGAGCGCUCGCUUCGCAUGUGAGAGGCCCCGGGUUCGAACCCCGGCACCUCCA
rnacentral:tRNA from 1 species